GGAAACAAAAUUAUACUUGACUGAAUUGGAGCUAAAAUCUGAAGUAGUCCCCUUCACAGGACGCCGCUUAAAGGCUAUCGUGCAGAUAUUGUACACAUCAUCCUAAUUAAAGCGGGUUACCUUCUCUUAGUUGGUGCAUUCUACGUUGCUGGUCAGACUGUGUCUUCUGAGACAGAAAAUGUUUCUGAAGAAAUAAACUCUGUUCUUGAUGUGACGGACACUGAUUCUGAAGUUAAUGAUUUCAAACAAUCUUUAAGUGAUAUACACUAGAAAAUAUUCUCGAACAAAUUGGCUGCUGCAAAUGAGGUUGCGAAAUGGACACCUGUAUUUUCACCAUUUACAAGUCUUUUUGUUAGAAAUUUCCAAAACUUAGAAGAACCAAUAAAGACAAAUCGUAAACGUUUAGUCUGGCCGGGCAGAGAUGCUGAGAACGAAGAAGAACCAUUGAGCUUAUAAUAUAUUUUUCAUUGUUUUAAACUGGCCCUAAUGUUGAAAACUAAAUAGCUUUAAACAAAUAAAGCUUAUAUUUCAUGAGUCGGUUGUAAAACAUCAUAUGCUGUUUGAAUUAGA
rnacentral:sRNA from 1 species